GCCAGCAUAGCAUAGUGGUUUGGGUGUUAGACUAGAACUUUGGAGACCAGGGUUCGAUUUCCCAUUUGACU